AUUGAACGCUGGCGGCACGCCUAACACAUGCAAGUCGAGCGGUAGCAGUGCUGGUAGUAAUACCAGUAGCUGACGAGCGGCGGACGGGUGAGGAACACGUAGGAACCUGCCCUUCAGAGGGGGGAUAACUAAGGGAAACUUUAGCUAAUACCGCAUAAUCUCUGAGGAGUAAAGCUGCCGCAAGGUGGCACUGAAGGAGG
rnacentral:rRNA from 1 species